rnacentral:rRNA from 1 species
AAUAGAUCCCCGGUAGUCCACGCCGUAAACGAUGGAUGCUAGCUGUUAUGCGUAUCGACCCGUGUAGUAGCGAAGCUAACGCGUUAAGCAUCCCGCCUGGGGAGUACGAACGCAAGUUUAAAACUCAAAGGAAUUGACGGGGACCCGCACAAGCGGUGGAGCGUGUUCUUUAAUUCGAGGCUAAGCGAAGAACCUUACCAGGGCUUGACAUCCUUGGAAUUUCUCCGAAAGGAGAGAGUACUUUAUUGGACCAAGUGACAGGUGCUGCAUGGCCGUCGUCAGCUCGUGUCGUGAGAUGUUUGGUUAAGUCCAUUAACGAGCGCAACCCUUAUGAAUAGUUGUAUUUUUCUAUUCAGACUGCCCCGGGUAACGGGGAGGAAGGGGGGGAUGAUGUCAGGUCAGUAUUGCCCUUACGCCCUGGGCUAGAAACGCGCUACAAUGGCCGGUACAAUGCGCUGCCAACCCGGCGAGGGGGAGCAAAUCGCAUCAAAGCCGGUCCCAGUUCGGAUAAGAGGCUGAAACUCGCCUCUUUGAAGCCGGAAUCGCUAGUAAUCGU